rnacentral:rRNA from 1 species
CCUGGCUCAGAACGAACGCUGGCGGCAGGCCUAACACAUGCAAGUCGAGCGCACCCUUCGGGGCGAGCGGCGGACGGGUUAGUAACGCGUGGGAACGUACCCUUCUCUAUGGAAUAGCCAUUGGAAACGAUGAGUAAUACCAUAUACGCCCUUCGGGGGAAAGAUUUAUCGGAGAAGGAUCGGCCCGCGUUAGAUUAGAUAGUUGGUGGGGUAAUGGCCUACCAAGUCUACGAUCUAUAGCUGGUUUUAGAGGAUGAUCAGCAACACUGGGACUGAGACACGGCCCA